UACGAAGGGGGCUAGCGUUGCUCGGAAUUACUGGGCGUAAAGGGCGCGUAGGCGGACAGUUUAGUCAGAGGUGAAAGCCCAGGGCUCAACCUUGGAAUUGCCUUUGAUACUGGCUGUCUUGAGUUCGGGAGAGGUGAGUGGAAUGCCGAGUGUAGAGGUGAAAUUCGUAGAUAUUCGGCGGAGCACCAGUGGCGAGGCGACUCACUGGCCCGAUACUGACGCUGAGGCGCGAAAGCGUGGGGAGCAAACAGG
rnacentral:rRNA from 1 species